AGGGCUACAGGUCUGGAUGUGGUCAUGUUUCAGGGCUACAGGUCUGGAUGUGGUCAUGUUUCAGGGCUACAGGUCUGGAUGUGGUCAUGUUUCAGGGCUACAGGUAUAUGGGUGAUGUAUCUGGAUGUGGUCAUGUUUCAGGGCUACAGGUAUAUGGUUGAAGCAUCUGGAUGUGGUCAUGUUUCAGGGCUACAGGUCUGGAUGUGGUCAUGUUUCAGGGCUACAGGUAUAUGGGUGAUGUAUCUGGAUGUGGUCAUGUUUCAGGGCUACAGGUCUGGAUGUGGUCAUGUUUCAGGGCUACAGGUAUAUGGGUGAUGUAUCUGGAUGUGGUCAUGUUUCAGGGCUACAGGUCUGGAUGUGGUCAUGUUUCAGGGCUACAGGUAUAUGGUUGAAGCAUCUGGAUGUGGUCAUGUUUCAGGGCUACAGGUCUGGAUGUGGUCAUGUUUCAGGGCUACAGGUAUAUGGUUGAAGCAUCUGGAUGUGGUCAUGUUUCAGGGCUACAGGUCUGGAUGUGGUCAUGUUUCAGGGCUACAGGUAUAUGGGUGAUGUAUCUGGAUGUGGUCAUGUUUCAGGGCUACAGGUAUAUGGUUGAAGCAUCUGGAUGUGGUCAUGUUUCAGGGCUACAGGUCUGGAUGUGGUCAUGUUUCAGGGCUACAGGUAUAUGGGUGAUGUAUCUGGAUGUGGUCAUGUUUCAGGGCUACAGGUAUAUGGUUGAAGCAUCUGGAUGUGGUCAUGUUUCAGGGCUACAGGUCUGGAUGUGGUCAUGUUUCAGGGCUACAGGUAUAUGGUUGAAGCAUCUGGAUGUGGUCAUGUUUCAGGGCUACAGGUAUAUGGGUGAUGUAUCUGGAUGUGGUCAUG